CCUACGGGUGAGCAGCAGUGAGGAAUAUUGGUCAAUGGGCGAGAGCCUGAACCAGCCAAGUCGCGUGAAGGAUGAAGGAUCUAUGGUUUGUAAACUUCUUUUAUAAGGGAAUAAAGUGUGGGACGUGUCCUGUUUUGUAUGUACCUUAUGAAUAAGGAUCGGCUAACUCCGUGCCAGCAGCCGCGGUAAUACGGAGGAUCCGAGCGUUAUCCGGAUUUAUUGGGUUUAAGGGGUGCGUAGGCGGCCUUUUAAGUCAGCGGUGAAAGUCUGUGGCUCAACCAUAGAAUUGCCGUUGAAACUGGUAGGCUUGAGUAUGUUUGAGGCAGGCGGAAUGCGUGGUGUAGCGGUGACAUGCUUAGACAUCACGCAGAACCCCGAUUGCGAAGGCAGCCUGCCAAGCCAUGACUGACGCUGAUGCAGGAAAGCGUGGGGAUCAAACAGGAUUAGAUACCCCAGUAGUC
rnacentral:rRNA from 1 species